AUGAACGCUGGCGGCGUGCCUAAUACAUGCCAGUCGCGCGAACAGAUAAGGAGCUUGCUCCUUUGACGUUAGCGGCGGACGGGUGAGUAACACGUGGGUAACCUACCUAUAAGACUGGGAUAACUUCGGGAAACCGGAGCUAAUACCGGAUAACAUUUGGAACCGCAUGGUUCUAAAGUGAAAGAUGGUUUUGCUAUCACUUAUAGAUGGACCCGCGCCGUAUUAGCUAGUUGGUAAGGUAACGGCUUACCAAGGCGACGAUACGUAGCCGACCUGAGAGGGUGAUCGGCCACACUGGAACUGAGACACGGUCCAGACUCCUACGGGAGGCAGCAGUAGGGAAUCUUCCGCAAUGGGCGAAAGCCUGACGGAGCAACGCCGCGUGAGUGAUGAAGGGUUUCGGCUCGUAAAACUCUGUUAUUAGGGAAGAACAAAUGUGUAAGUAACUGUGCACGUCUUGACGGUACCUAAUCAGAAAGCCACGGCUAACUACGU
rnacentral:rRNA from 1 species